rnacentral:rRNA from 1 species
GGCGCGAAAACUCCGCAAUGCGCGGAAGCGUGACGGGGUCACCCCGAGUGCCAUCCGCUGAGGGUGGCUUUUGCCCGGUUUAAUGAGCCGGGUGAAUAAGGGGAGGGCAAGCCUGGUGUCAGCCGCCGCGGUAAUACCAGCUCCUCGAGUGGUUGGGACGAUUAUUGGGUUUAAAGCGUUCGUAGCCGGUCGGAAAAGUUCUCCGUUAAAUCCAACGAUCCAAUCGUUGGGCUGCGGGGAAUACUCUUCGGCUUGGGGGCGGGGGAGGUCGACGGUAGUCCCGGGGUAGGGGCGAAAUCCUAUAAUCCCGGGAGGACCACCAGUGGCGUAGGCGGUCGACUAAAACGCGCCCGACGGUGAGGGACGAAAGCUGGGGGAGCGAACGGGAUUAGAAACCCUAGUAGUCC